UUACUUCUACUUUUGUCCCGUUUUAUGAAUUGGCUAUUUUAAAGAUGUUAUAUAAAAACUAUUAUUAUUAGGAUAUUAUUAUUAAUGGAUGAUAUGAAUGUUCGCAAAACAAUAUUUCUGAAAACAAAAACAACUUUACUAAAUGCACAAUAUGUAAAAUGGGAAAAGAUAAAGGUCUAUUUGUAUUGCCAAGGAAGCAAUACUAUCUUCAUAGAAGUAUGUUGGGCUAUCAUUUGCAUCAUUCAUUUAUUUAUAAUAGGCUAUUUAAUUUAUACAUCUAUUUAUAAUUAUAGUUUGUAGUUAUGUUAUUGAUGUUGAGUUCAAAUCAGUAUAGGCUAUAAAGCCAUCGUAGAUAUAAUUAUAUAAUUUUACCGCUUAAUUUCGGUAUUUAUCGUGGUCUAAAUCAACACCAAGAGUGAUCCUCUGUGUUCUGAUGAGAGAAGUGCGCCGCUGUAGUCUGCAGUACCUCUCUUGAUCUACAGGGGGCUCUAGUGCACCACAGAAUCCAGCGGCAGAUGAAAGACAACACGACGGCCUCUCAAACACUUUCACCGCUUCUGUCAAUGGCGGCUUUAAGACGCACGAAAACAACCCAGAUAAACUAACACAACCCACAGUGGCUGAGGAAUGAGUCUAUAUGUUUAAAAUCACCUGUAAACCAGAUCUGAUAUUCUGCAAGUAGCCUAGUGUGAUAUGUGUGGACUUCGUGCGCGUGCAUUUUACCGUGAGAGACCAUUCAUGCGCGCGUGCGUGUAUUUGUGUAGCCUGUGUGUGCGCAUGUGUAAGGCUUGUGUACAUGUGUGGCGAGCGUCUGAUGAGCAGGCCAGAGAAGCAUCUGAAUUUUAAUGAUGUUGAAGAUGAUAUUGUGUGUCCUUCAGUCUGUAAUACUGACACAAGCUCUCCAUAAAUCAUCAUAUAAGCCCAUCGUAAAAUCAAUACAAACUGCACGCUCAGCGAAGACGCACUAUAUGCCUCUCACACACCUUGCAGCCUAAACUUCAGGCGUAAUGCCGCUCGACCCAGAGGUUAAGAUCAGAGCCUCUUUAAUUUGUAUUGUAACAGAGACUUUCUAAUCCGUAAUGAAAUGUCUAUUAGCCGGGCUUUGCUGGGAACACUGGCGAUCAGCUCGCGAAACAGACACGGCAAUUACGUUUGUGUCUUUGUCCUGGAGCGAGUGAAGCCGGUUUAGCCGCUCGAUAAAUGUUAAUCCAGUGAGGAGAGAUCCAGGACACCAGGCUCUGAUCUCUGCCCCUCGUCGGGCUUCCAGCAGAGCACAGACAACCUCCAGGACCAAAACAACCAGAAACAAACAAAAAUGUUCGGAAAGGAAACAGCAGGACUGUUUUUAUAGUGAUCCCUCCAACCAUCAACUCUGACAUACAAAAUACAGCAUGUAAAAGACCCUGGCGGGAUACACACACACACACACACACACACACACACACUCGAAGCCCUUUUCUUUGCUCAGCCUGUGAGCUGUAAACAGCUUAUGAAAGUCAAAUGGAAAUGUGGCAUAAUCUGACAAGUGGAGUCUGUGCUUCAAAAACAGCUCUAACAAUCCACACACACACACACACACACACACACACACUGGUACAAACACAUGCAUGUACACGGAUCAGAACCGUAACUUGUGCCACAGACUGUGUGUGUAAUCUGCCUCUGCAGGUGCUUCAGUCUUAAAAACUAGAAUUAAAUAAACUACAAUAAAAAUGAUAUUCAGA